CACCUACUCUCUUCGUUCCAAAUUACUCGUCGCAGAAAUGGAUGUCUCUAGAACUAAAAUACAUCUAGAUACAUCUAUUUCUGCGACGAGUAAUUCAGAACGAAGGGAGUAUUAA
rnacentral:pre_miRNA from 1 species